GAAAUUGCUGACAAGUGAAGAUGCCUGACUUUUGUGCAGCCUACGGAUGCGUCAAUCUACGAACUCUCCAAACGAGAACCCGUGGGAUGACCUUUCACCUGUUUCCCAAAAACAAAACGAGAAGGAUUAAGUGGGAAAUGGCCCUAAGAAGGGACAGUUUUACUGCUUCUGACAGAUCACUGCUCUGCAGUGACCACUUCAGGAUUGAGGACUUUGACAGGACGGGGCAGACUGUCCGGCUUAAAGAUGGUGUUGUGCCAACCCUUUUCAACUUUCCAGCUCGUCUUCAAAGGUCGGUAGCAACCAGAAGCGCAACCAAAUCUAAAAGAGCGGAAGAGAACCUGGCAAUGGACUUGAUGCCUGAUGUUGUGAGUAUUUUCAUGUGGAAUGUCACAAACUAAUUAGAGAAUCAUAUGGCUUGUUAUAUCAAAACCUUAAUCUUGAUGGUACCCAGGUCUAUGAUGAUGUUACUAGUCUUGGAGCCCAAUAUUAUUUAAGGGUGGUACUCUGUGUAAAUAGUUUGAAAAACACUGUCUAUCUCACUUUCUCACUCAUUCACUGGAAUGAAUAAACAUGUGUGAACAUUGAAACUACACCCAGGGGUAUGCAACCUUUUAUAUUUUUGUCCAGAGCCACAAAACGCCUUAUAAGUGGAGAAGCCUGUACAAUUUCUUAAAAGUGUACUGUUGUGUUUUCUGUUGGAGAAUUGGAGGACCUAAAAAUUAAUUCAGGCUCACAGAAUUCAAAAGUGAAGAUUGAAUUGUUGAAAAAGUAAGUUAUUAAUUUCCGUAUUACUAUUAUUUAUAUAUUUGUAUGUUUUGCCAAAACAACAGGAAGCUACUGGAGAGAGGAGAUUGAGCAGCAAGUGGCAGGACACUGACCACUUGUAUGCAUUGCCUGCUUGCCCUUCCCGUGAGGAUGGACACUGGGAUUUCAGCUGCCUUCAGUGUGCAGAAUGUAUAUAGUUCUCUGCAAACCUAUGGUGGUACCAUGCCUUCAGUGUGCAUAUUGUAUAAAGUUCUCUGCAAACCUAUGGUGGCAUCCUGCCUUCAAUGUGUCUUGAACAACCACAAAGGUUGCACAUAUUAUGUUCAUAUUUUAUCGUAUUUGCCUAAUGCAUAUUUGACUGUAGAUAGAUUUGAGUGAAGUAACCAACACAAUAGAUUGCUGAGUUUUAGUAACCCAUGUAUUGAUUUAACAUAAAUAACAUGAAUACCUUGUGCAUGUGUGUUUUUAUUGCACCUAUCUGUUCUGUUUAAUGUUAAUUUCAUAUGAAAACACAUGGUUUUAAUUACACAAAUACAUCUCUGUUCAGGGUGGGGAAUACAUCUUGCAGCUUUUGUUGACGUAUAUUUGUAAAGGGAAAUCUUGUACCUAUUUUAGAACAUUAUUCUAUUUUUCUUAGAACCAAAGUAUUCAUAAGUAUGUACUGUCAUGCCUACAUAUCUGACGUUUAUAAUAAACUAAACCGUUUGAAAAUCUGUUAAGAA
rnacentral:lncRNA from 1 species